rnacentral:lncRNA from 1 species
CCCAGAAGAGUGGCUCAAGUUCACAUUCAGAAUUUAUUUGUUGAAAGAGUAUCUCCACUUUAUCACAAUCGAGCACUUCCAAUUCUUUCAGAAGUAGCCAGCUUGAACUAAACCUUCUAGAGCAAAAUCUUUUGAGUUGGUGUAAACCGGAGAGUGUGAGAGAGGUAAGGUUAGGGAAUAAGAGUAAAGGUGCUGCUUCAUCUUCAUUUUCAUUGGCAACAAUUGCCUCCACUCCACUCUCCGAUAUAUAUAGGUCCUCAAGUUGCACAAGAGCACUCGCCACAGAAACCCGAAAAAGGUUUAGCAAUUUGUUGAAUCCCCUUACAUGCAAUUUCCUUAAUUUGGAAAAUGAAUUUGUUGGAAGUUGGUCAGGCCACAAUGCUCUUAUAUUAUCCAGUCCGCAUACAUACAAGGACUCCAAGCCUUGGAGUGCAACCUGUGCAAUUGAUAAUCCCUUUGGUUAAUAAUAUAUACAUAUACAUUCCUAAUGAUUAGACACAUGUAAAUAGAAAAUAAGAGGUUAAAGGAGAAUAUAUCAGUAUAACAAAGCACAAAAUUUAAACUAGAUUAAAGAAGAUCAAGAAAGAGAAAAGAAAAGAAAAAGCCUCCAGAUUUUGAAGAUACAAUGAAACUUAAAAAAAAAAAAAAAAAACCUCCAAAUUUUCCUUUCGAAAUGAGGUAAUAAGAGGAUUUUUUUUUUCUUUUUUCUUUGCCUCUCUUUCAAAUUUGAUUAACUUCUAUGGAAAACGUAUUUUAACUAGUUAUGGAAAACGGAUUUUUUUUUUUAAAAACUUUUAUAUAAGAUACAAGUAAUACUUUAAAAAAAUUGUGAUAUCUAAAAAAUUUUUUGAAAAAUUAUUUUUAAAGAAAUAAGGUAAAUCUAUACUUUUUGUAUAAGAUGUUCUACCUUUGUAUUCAAAUUUCUGAUUUUUUUUUUUUAAAGUGUAUCCAAAUGCACACUAAACUAUCUAGUUUUUAAUUGUUACAACUUUGAAUUGGAUUUUAUGGUAAACUAAUUUACAAGUUAAUGCAUAGAUUCAUCUUAGAUUCCAUCUAUAAAUUUUUUUAAUUAUCUAAUAUAAGACAGUAUAUUAAUGGGUUGAAUUAAUAAUGUAAUUAUAAUUUAUUUGGCAACUUUCUUCCUUCAAAUAUAUAAAAUGAAAAUAAAUUUUAAAAAAUAAAAAAUAAAAAAAAGAUUUUUUUUAUAGUUUUUCUAAGAUGAUUUUGUAGAGUUCUGUUAGUUUAUAGUUUUCACUUUAUUUAUUGAGGUAUGUUCUUUUUUGAAACUCUUGUUUAGAUUUUAUUGAGAAUAUAAAUUUUAAGAAAAAAAAUAAAAUUUAAAUAAAAUAAGAAUAAAGAAAGGCAAAAGCUGGAUGAAUUUUUUUAAGGCAAAAGUUUGAUAAUUUGGCACUCUCAUGUAAUGGGUGAAAUUUUUAAAUACUCAACAAAGGCUAGUGAAAUUUAAAUUAAAACCAUGACAUGUACCUUUUAGACCAAAAUCUUUGGAGUUGGUGUAAUGUUUUGAGUAUGAGAGAGGUUAGUCUAGGGAAUAUUAUUGCACAUUAGUUCAAAUAAAACAUCAACAUUUUUUUUUGUUAAAUUCUAAAUGAACACCACUAUAAAUUAAUGCGAUUUUGUAUGCUCAAUUAAAUAAACUCGUUCUUAAGGCAUCACAUGAAGUGUUUAAGUCUAAUUAAUAUUAAUUAAAAAUGAUUAUAGUAAAAAAAAUCCAAAGUAAUUUUUUUUUAUCAUAAGUCAAGUAGGAUAGUUUUAUAAAUAAUUGGUUCUAGUUUCUAGUAUUAUUGUAGACAAUCGCUAUGUUUGUUGCACCUCCAAAAAAUCUACUACUUGUAAUUAAUUGUAUAUUAUUCUCCAUAUUCACAUCAGUUUAUGUAGUAUGAUUAAUUUAGCAACAAAAUAUAAGUUUACUUGAAAUGGCUUUAAAUUCCUAUGAUAUUAAAGUUUAAGAUUAAAACAAUGUAACAUUAGCAAAAAAGAUUAAGAUCUAUAAUGUAACAAAUAAAAUUUAGAAAAUUCAAGGCAGGGUAAACUCGCACCUGUUCUACCCAGAAGAGUGGCUCAAGUUCACAUUCAGAAUUUAUUUGUUGAAAGAGUAUCUCCACUUUAUCACAAUCGAGCACUUCCAAUUCUUUCAGAAGUAGCCAGCUUGAACUAAACCUUCUAGAGCAAAAUCUUUUGAGUUGGUGUAAACCGGAGAGUGUGAGAGAGGUAAGGUUAGGGAAUAAGAGUAAAGGUGCUGCUUCAUCUUCAUUUUCAUUGGCAACAAUUGCCUCCACUCCACUCUCUGAUAUAUAUAGGUCCUCAAGUUGCACAAGAGCACUCGCCACAGAAACCCGAAAAAGGUUUAGCAAUUUGUUGAAUCCCCUUACAUGCAAUUUCCUUAAUUUGGAAAAUGAAUUUGUUGGAAGUUGGUCAGGCCACAAUGCUCUUAUAUUAUCCAGUCCGCAUACAUACAAGGACUCCAAGCCUGGGAGUGCAACCUGUGCAAUUGAUAAUCCCUUUGGUUAAUAAUAUAUACAUAUACAUUCCUAAUAAUUAGACACAUGUAAAUAGAAAAUAAGAGGUUAAAGGAGAAUAUAUCAGUAUAACAAAGCACAAAAUUUAAACUAGAUUAAAGAAGAUCAAGAAAGAGAAAAGAAAAGAAAAAGCCUCCAGAUUUUGAAGAUACAAUGAAACUUAAAAAAAAAAAAAAAAAACCUCCAAAUUUUCCUUUCGAAAUGAGGUAAUAAGAGGAUUUUUUUUUUAUUUUUUCUUUGCCUCUCUUUCAAAUUUGAUUAACUUCUAUGGAAAACGCAUUUUAACUAGUUAUGGAAAACGGAUUUUUUUUUUUUAAAACUUUUAUAUAAGAUACAAGUAAUACUUUAAAAAAAUUGUGAUAUCUAAAAAAUUUUUUGAAAAAUUAUUUUUAAAGAAAUAAGGUAAAUCUAUACUUUUUGUAUAAGAUGUUCUACCUUUGUAUUCAAAUUUCUGAUUUUUUUUUUUAAAGUGUAUCCAAAUGCACAAUAAACUACCUAGUUUUUAAUUGUUACAACUUUGAAUUGGAUUUUAUGGUAAACUAAUUUACAAGUUAAUGCAUGGAUUCAUCUUAGAUUCCAUCUAUAAAUUUUUUUAAUUAUCUAAUAUAAGACAUUAUAUUAAUGGGUUGAAUUAAUAAUGUAAUUAUAAUUUAUUUGGCAACUUUCUUCCUUCAAAUAUAUAAAAUGAAAAUAAAUUUUAAAAAAUAAAAAAAAUGAAAAAAUAAAAAAUAAAAAAAAGAUUUUUUUUAUAGUUUUUCUAAGAUGAUUUUGUAGAGUACUGUUAGUUUAUAGUUUUCACUUUAUUUAUUGAGGUAUGUUCUUUUUUGAAACUCUUGUUUAGAUUUUAUUGAGAAUAUAAAUUUUAAGAAAAAAAAUGAAAUUUAAAUAAAAUAAGAAUAAAGAAAGGCAAAAGGUGGAUGAAUUUUUUUACGGCAAAAGUUUGAUAAUUUGGCACUAUCAUGUAAUGGGUGAAAUUUUUAAAUACUCAACAAAGGCUAGUGAAAUUUAAAUUAAAACCUUGACAUGUACCUUUUAGACCAAAAUCUUUGGAGUUGGUGUAAAGUUUUGAGUAUGAGAGAGGUUAGUCUAGGGAAUAUUAUUGCACAUUAGUUCAAAUAAAACAUCAACAUUUUUUUUUGUUAAAUUCUAAAUGAACACCACUAUAAAUUAAUGCGAUUUUGUAUGCUCAAUUAAAUAAACUCGUUCUUAAGGCAUCACAUGAAGUAUUUAAGUCUAAUUAAUAUUAAUUAAAAAUGAUUAUAGUAAAAAAAAUCCAAAGUAAUUUUUUUUUAUCAUAAGUCAAGUAGGAUAGUUUUAUAAAUAAUUGGUUCUAGUUUCUAGUAUUAUUGUAGACAAUCGCUAUGUUUGUUGCACCUCCAAAAAAUCUACUACUUGUAAUUAAUUGUAUAUUAUUCUCCAUAUUCACAUCAGUUUAUGUAGUAUGAUUAAUUUAGCAACAAAAUAUAAGUUUACUUGAAAUGGCUUUAAAUUCCUAUGAUAUUAAAGUUUAAGAUUAAAACAAUGUAACAUUAGCCAAAAAGAUUAAGAUCUAUAAUGUAACAUAUAAAAUUUAGAAAAUUCAAGGAAGGGUAAACUCGCACCUGUUCUACCCAGAAGAGUGGCUCAAGUUCACAUUCAGAAUUUAUUUGUUGAAAGAGUAUCUCCACUUUAUCACAAUAGAGCACUUCCAAUUCUUUCAGAAGUGGCCAGCUUGAACUAAACCUUCUAGAGCAAAAUCUUUUGAGUUGGUGUAAACCGGAGAGUGUGAGAGAGGUAAGGUUAGGGAAUAAGAGUAAAGGUGCUGCCUCAUCUUCAUUUUCAUUGGCAACAAUUGCCUCCACUCCACUCUGAAAUAUAUUUAGGUUCUCAAGUUGCACAAGAGCACUCGCCACAGAAACCGGAAAAAGGUUUAGCAAUUUGUUGCAUCCCCUUACUUGCAAUUCCCUUAAUUUGGAAAAUGAAUUUGCUGGAAGUUGGUCAGGCCACAAUGCUCUUAUAUUAUCUAGUCCGCAUACAGAAAAGGACUCCAAGCCUGGGAGUGCAACCUGUGCAAUUGAUGAUCCCUUUAGUUAAUAAUAUAUACAUAUACAUUCCUAAUAAUUAGCACAUGUAAAUAGAAAAUAAGAGGUUAAAGGAGAAUAUAUCAGUAUAACAAAGCACAAAAUUUAAACUAGAUUCAAGAAGAUCAAGAAAGAGAAAAGAAAAGAAAAAGCCUCCAGAUUUUAAAGAUACAAUGAAACUUAAAAAAAAAAAAAAAAAACCUCCAAAUUUUCCUUUCGAAAUGAGGUAAUAAGAGGAUUUUUUUUUUUUUCUUUUUUCUUUGCCUCUCUUUCAAAUUUGAUUAACUUCUAUGGAAAACGUAUUUUAACUAGUUAUGGAAAACGGAUUUUUUUUUUAAACUUUUAUAUAAGAUACAAGUAAUACUUUUAAAAAAUUGUGAUAUCUAAAAAAGUUUUUGAAAAAUUAUUUUUAAAGAAAUAAGGUAAAUCUAUACUUUUUGUAUAAGAUCUUCUACCUUUAUAUACAAAUUUCUGAUUUUUUUUUUUAAAGUGUAUCCAAAUGGACACUAAACUAUCUAGUUUUUAAUUGUUACAACUUUGAAUUGGAUUUUAUGGUAAACUAAUUUACAAGUUAAUGCAUGGAUUCAUCUUAGAUUCCAUCUAUAAAUUUUUUUAAUUAUCUAAUAUAAGACAUUAUAUUAAUGGGUUGAAUUAAUAAUGUAAUUAUAAUUUAUUUGGCAACUUUCUUCCUUCAAAUAUAUAAAAUGAAAAUAAAUUUUAAAAAAUAAAAAAGAAUGAAAAAAAUAAAAAAUAAAAAAAGCUUUUUUUUAUAGUUUUUCUAAGAUGAUUUUGUAGAGUACUGUUAGUUUAUAGUUUUAACUUUAUUUCAUUUUACUUUUAACUUUAUUUAUUGAGGUAUGUUCUUUUUUGAAACUCUUGUUUAGAUUUUAUAGAGAAUAUAAAUUUUAAGAAAAAAAAAGGAAAUUUAAAUAAAAUAAGAAUAAAGAAAGGCAAAAGGUGGAUGAAUUUUUUUAAGGCAAAAGUUUGAUAAUUUGGCACUAUCAUGUAAUGGGUGAAAUUUUUAAAUACUCAACAAAGGCUAGUGAAAUUUAAAUUAAAAGCUUGACAUGUACCUUUUCGACCAAAAUCUUUGGAGUUGGUGUAAAGUUUUGAGUAUGAGAGAGGUUAGUCUAGGGAAUAUUAUUGCACAUUUGUUCAAAUAAAACAUCAACAUUUUUUUUUGUUAAAUUCUAAAUGAACACCACUAUAAAUUAAUGCGAUUUUGUAUGCUCAAUUAAAUAAACUCAUUCUUAAGGCAUCACAUGAAGUGUUUAAGUCUAAUUAAUAUUAAUUAAAAAUGAUUAUAUUAAAAAAAAUCCAAAGUAAUUUAUUUUUAUCAUAAGUCAAGUAGGAUAGUUUUAUAAAUAAUUGGUUCUAGUUUCUAGUAUUAUUGUACACAAUCGCUAUGUUUGUUGCACCUCCAAAAAUCUACUACUUGUAAUUAAUUGUAUAUUAUUCUCCAUAUUCACAUCAGUUUAUGUAGUAUGAUUAAUUUAGCAACAAAAUAUAAGUUUACUUGAAAUCGCUUUAAAUUCCUAUGAUAUUAAAGUUUAAGAUUAAAACAAUUUAACAUUAGCCAAAAAGAUUAAGAUCUAUAAUGUAACAUAUAAAAUUUAGAAAAUUCAAGGAAGGGUAAACUCGCACCUGUUCUACCCAGAAGAGUGGCUCAAGUUCACAUUCAGAAUUUAUUUGUUGAAAGAGUAUCUCCACUUUAUCACAAUCGAGCACUUCCAAUUCUUUCAGAAGUGGCCAACUUGAACUAAACUUUCUAGAGCAAAAUCUUUUGAGUUGGUGUAAACCGGAGAGUGUGAGAGAGGUAAGGUUAGGGAAUAAAAGUAAAAGUGCUGCUUCAUCUUCAUUUUCAUUGUGAACAAUUGCCUCCACUCCACUAUAAAAUAUAUUUAGGUUCUCAAGUUGCACAAGAGCACUCGCCACAGAAACCGGAAAAAGGUUUAGCAAUUUGUUGCAUCCCCUUACUUGCAAUUUCCUUAAUUUGGAAAAUGAAUUUGCUGGAAGUUGGUCAGGCCACAAUGCUCUUAUAUUAUCUAGUCCGCAUACAGACACGGACUCCAAGCCUGGGAGUGCAACCUGUGCAAUUGAUGAUCCCUUUAGUUAAUAAUAUAUACAUAUACAUUCCUAAUAAUUAGACACAUGUAAAUAGAAAAU